GCUUAACACAUGCAAGUCGAACGAAGAGCGAUGGAAGCUUGCUUCUAUCAAUCUUAGUGGCGAACGGGUGAGUAACGCGUAAUCAACCUGCCCUUCAGAGGGGGACAACAGUUGGAAACGACUGCUAAUACCGCAUACGAUCUAAUCUCGGCAUCGAGGAUAGAUGAAAGGUGGCCUCUACAUGUAAGCUAUCACUGGAGGAGGGGAUUGCGUCUGAUUAGCUAGUUGGAGGGGUAACGGCCCACCAAGGCGAUGAUCAGUAGCCGGUCUGAGAGGAUGAACGGCCACAUUGGGACUGAGACACGGCCCAGACUCCUACGGGAGGCAGCAGUGGGGAAUCUUCCGCAAUGGACGAAAGUCUGACGGAGCAACGCCGCGUGAGUGAUGACGGCCUUCGGGUUGUAAAGCUCUGUUAAUCGGGACGAAAGGCCUUCUUGCGAAUAGUGAGAAGGAUUGACGGUACCGGAAUAGAAAGCCACGGCUAACUAC
rnacentral:rRNA from 1 species